CCUACGUGAGGCAGCAGUGGGGAAUAUUGGGCAAUGGGCGCAAGCCUGACCCAGCAACGCCGCGUGAAGGAAGAAGGCUUUCGGGUUGUAAACUUCUUUUCUCAGGGACGAAGCAAGUGACGGUACCUGAGGAAUAAGCCACGGCUAACUACGUGCCAGCAGCCGCGGUAAUACGUAGGUGGCAAGCGUUAUCCGGAUUUACUGGGUGUAAAGGGCGUGUAGGCGGGAAAGCAAGUCAGAUGUGAAAACCAUGGGCUCAACCUGUGGCCUGCAUUUGAAACUGUUUUUCUUGAGUACUGGAGAGGCAGACGGAAUUCCUAGUGUAGCGGUGAAAUGCGUAGAUAUUAGGAGGAACACCAGGGGCGAAGGCGGUCUGCUGGACAGCAACUGACGCUGAGGCGCGAAAGCGUGGGGAGCAAACAGGAUUAGAUACCCGAGUAGUC
rnacentral:rRNA from 1 species